UGGGGCUAUAGCUCAGCUGGGAGAGCGCCUGCUUUGCACGCAGGAGGUCUGCGGUUCGAUCCCGCAUAGCUCCACCCA
rnacentral:tRNA from 1 species